AAUCCCAGCGCCGCUCGGGCGCGCCAAUUUAGGGAAAAGGCUCCGCCCAUGCCCCGCCCCCUGAGGCCUGGCGCCGGGCGCUUUGAGGCCCUGCCUACUACCCUGCUGGGCAGGGAAAGGGGCGUCUUCUGUCCUUGUGGUCCGCAUCUAGGCUUUCUAGAGCAUCUUCCAGGGUCAAUCCAGAGACGCCCCCCAGACUACUGAAUCUGAAUCCGUUAGGGUGGUCCAACCUUCCUCUUCAGGUGUCUACUCGAGGCAAGGUUGGAUGUAUGCGGCUGCCCUCAAUACAGCCCCUUCCUUGUUUUUUCUUCAUUUAUGUUUACGUGAAAUAUUAAUCCUUUUCUCCUUGUCCUCCAUCCCUCUCCCUCCCCUACUAUACGGUUAUUGACUUACACUAAUUCAUUCCCGAUUAUCUCCGAGAUGGAAAUAAAUGUCUGUCUCUGUCUCUGUACCGUCGUCGUCUUGGUACAAUUUGGACUGUUUUUUCUCUACACCCCUGAUAUGCAGAGUGUAGUCUCUGAACCAGCAGCCCCAGCAUCCUGAGGGAAUUUGUUAAAAACGCCAAAUUUUAGGCUGUACCCAGACUUUCUGAAUCAGUAUCUGUAUUGCAACAAGAUCCCCCUGGUAAUUCCUAUGCACAUCAAAAUUUGGAAGGCACAGCUCUCAACUGAUGUCCUUGGGUCUCCUUCACAUCCAUCCUGGGAAGGUCUUAUUCCUCAUUCCUGGAGCUCAUCCCACCGAAGAGGUAUGGUACUUCCAGUUCCUGAGCCUUUGCGAGGUUCUGCGUGUCAGUGAGCUUGCUUCCAGGCAUCACUUCUGAAAACACCUGGGUUUCAGUUUUCUCUGUGAGGCUUCUUAAGGAGUGGAGGCAAGUGGAUGCUUUCAAGUACCCACUUCCAACCUCCAGCCUCUGGUAACCAGCAUUCUACUCUCUACUUC